GACGAACGCUGGCGGCGUGCCUAACACAUGCAAGUCGAGCGGAGAUAUAUGGAAGGUUUACCGGAAAUAUAUCUUAGCGGCGGACGGGUGAGUAACGCGUGGGCAACCUGCCUCAUACAGGGGGAUAACACAGGGAAACUUGUGCUAAUACCGCAUGAAAUCAUAGUAUGGCAUCAUACAAUGAUCAAAGGAGCAAUCCGGUAUGAGAUGGGCCCGCGUCCGAUUAGCUAGUUGGUGAGGUAACGGCUCACCAAGGCGACGAUCGGUAGCCGAACUGAGAGGUUGAUCGGCCACAUUGGGACUGAGACACGGCCCAGACUCCUACGGGAGGCAGCAGUGGGGAAUAUUGCGCAAUGGGGGAAACCCUGACGCAGCAACGCCGCGUGAAGGAAGAAGGCCUCGGUUGUAACUUCUUGAUAGGGACGAUAAUGACGGUACCUAAAACAAGACCACGGCUAACUACGUGCCAGCAGCCGCGGUAAAAUAGACGUACU
rnacentral:rRNA from 1 species